GCGGGUGUAAUUCAGUGGUAGAAUUUCAGCCUUCCAAGCUGAUAGCGUGGGUUCGAUUCCCAUCACCCGCUC
rnacentral:tRNA from 1 species